rnacentral:lncRNA from 1 species
GGUUGGGGAGGUGGGGGGAAGCGAAGCCCUAAGAUGGGCGGAGAGAAGCAGAUGUGGAGGUGAUGGCGAAGACCCAGAUAUAAGCAGUUGGUGAGUUCCAUGAGGAGACUGCAACUUCUCCACCCUGUGCCCCUCCAGAUCCCUCAUGCUGCUCUGUGUCCUCCAGGGUUGGCCUGUCCAAGUUCAACAGUGGGCUUCCACACCCUCCCACUUCCAGCUGGGUUGGCCAAGGACUUUCAACUGCGGCACCAGAAGGGACCUUAUAGCUGAGAAAAUUGAAGCUCAGAGAGCUGCAGCAGCUUGCCCAGCAUCAUACGGCACUGGAAAUGGUCAGCCAAUGUGUUCCGUAGAGCACGACUUGAGUUCAUCUGUAAAAUGGGCCUAAUAACAGUGCCUAUCUUUAGAGUUGUGAAGAUUAAAGAAGACAAUGCUUAUAAAGCUCUUGGUGGCCGGAUGUGGUGGCUCAUACCUGUAAUCCCAGCACUUUGGGAAGCCGAGGCAGGAGGAUCACUUGAG